CUACGGGAGGCAGCAGUGGGGAAUAUUGGACAAUGGGCGCAAGCCUGAUCCAGCCACGCCGCGUGAGUGAUGAAGGCCUUCGGGUCGUAAAGCUCUGUGGGGAGGGACGAACCGCUGCACGUUCAUAGCGUGCAGCAUGACGGUACCACCUUAGCAAGCACCGGCUAACUUCGUGCCAGCAGCCGCGGUAAU
rnacentral:rRNA from 1 species